CUGCCCUCUAGUUCCAUGGAUUCUUCUUUUUACUGUUCUUGGAAAUGAUACUUGCAUUCCUGAAGUCCUAGGAUGAUGUAUAAACUUGAGGCUUAAAGAUAAAAUUCCUAGAUGAGGAAAUACCAUGGUGGUACAGUGGAAUGGAAUUGGUUGAACCCAGAGAGGGAGGCAACACAUUCCAGAGUGUUCUUCCUCCAAGUGUUUUAAAGCAAGACACACUUCUACUGUGGUACUUCAAAUUCUCCAAAAAAAAUGCUGUUCAAGGUUCCCACUAAAAGCAAAUACAAUCCAAAACACAUACAGUGAAGGAUGAAUGACAUAAUUAUCAGCAUGAUAGCAGCUUUGGAAGAAACACACACUAUUAAAGAGA